AAGUCGUAACAAGGUAUCCGUUGGUGAACCAGCGGAUGGAUCAUUACCAGAAAAGUAAAUGCCAAUAUUUGUGGUAUGGUUGACUUUAGUUAACCUCUGGCUUGGUUGGUGAAUCAGCCUGCCAGUACCCAUUGUGUGCAAUGAUGACGUGAUGUUGGUGUUGAAGCCAACAAGAAGUCGCACGCUUGAUGAGGUGAAGGGGUUGUUGGAAUGGACUACACUGAAGUCCAGGCGAGAUGCCUCCUCUACCCCAGUGACUGCCAUUGACUUCACUGAAGCGAUUGUCUCUAAAGAUGACAACUGCUGGCCGUGGAUCACUUGGCUGAC
rnacentral:misc_RNA from 1 species